GACGAACGCUGGCGGCGUGCCUAAUACAUGCAAGUUGAGCGCUGAAGGUUGGUACUUGUACCAACUGGAUGAGCAGCGAACGGGUGAGUAACGCGUGGGGAAUCUGCCUUUGAGCGGGGGACAACAUUUGGAAACGAAUGCUAAUACCGCAUAAAAACUUUAAACACAAGUUUUAAGUUUGAAAGAUGCAAUUGCAUCACUCAAAGAUGAUCCCCAGUUGUAUUAGCUAGUUGGGGAGGUAAAGGCUCACCAAGGCGAUGAUACAUAGCCGACCUGAGAGGGUGAACGGCCACAUUGGGACUGAGACACGGCCCAAGCUCCCACGGGAGGGAGCAGUAGGGAAUCUUCGGCAAUGGACGAAAGUCUGACCGCGCAACGCCGCGGGAGUGAAGAAGGUUUUCGGAUCGUAAAACUCUGUUGGUAGAGAAGAACGUUGGUGAGAGUGGAAAGCUCAUCAAGUGACGGUAACUACACAGAAAGGGACGGCUAACUACGUG
rnacentral:rRNA from 1 species